GGGUGUGCGUGCACAGGGUGGAGGGGAUUGUUAAGGGUUAGGGUAUUUUAGUUUUUUAUAUAGUUAAUGGCUAAAUGGAUCUAAAACUGUUGGAAGGACUUAAUUGUUGAUAGAGGCAAAUUACGGGGACUUAAUGAUCUAUUUCCAAAAUACAAGGACCAAAGUGUUAAUAAUGGUAAAACUAAGGUAAUUUAGAAUUAUGGUAAAACUAAGGGACUAAAUAUUAAAUUACCUUUCUUUUCUUAUUGUCCAUUGUCCAAUUGGAAAAUCUAAGUGAUUAUUGGAAUUUGUAUUUGUUCGGAUCUUCUGAACAAAUGCUUGAUGCAUUUACUUGUGUCCUGUUGGAAGUACAUCUUUUCAAUGAUCCUACUUAAGA
rnacentral:misc_RNA from 1 species